CAGGGAUCUAAUCAUGACUCUCAUAUAUGGCGUGUAAGCCCUGCAAGAACUCACUUUGAGCAGCUUCACCAAAAUGGUGAAGUUAAUACUAAGAUUCUAGGUGAUGCUGGUUAUCCAUCGGAACCUUGGUUAGUAACGCCAUUCAGAGCAGCGGAGGAAGGGAGUUUGGAGAGCGAUUUUAAUCGCAGGCAUGCCUUGGGUCGUGCUAUCGUCGAGCGGACAAUCGGUUUACUAAAAAAUCGGUUUAGAUGCAUCCUUGGCGCGAGACAACUUCACUACAAUCCUACUAAAUGCGCUCAAAUUAUAAAUGUAUGCUGUGCACUUCACAAUAUAUGCUUAGAAUUUGGUCGUUCUCAGUAGUUAUAAUAUGUUAUGCAGCUGUUUACAUAAUAAACUUUUGUUUAAAUUAA